rnacentral:rRNA from 1 species
UACGUAGGGUGCAAGCGUUAAUCGGAAUUACUGGGCGUAAAGCGUGCGCAGGCGGUGAUGUAAGACAGGUGUGAAAUCCCCGGGCUUAACCUGGGAACUGCAUUUGUGACUGCAUCGCUGGAGUGCGGCAGAGGGGGGAUGGAAUUCCGCGUGUAGCAGUGAAAUGCGUAGAUAUGCGGAGGAACACCGAUGGCGAAGGCAAUCCCCGUGGGC